AGUGAACGCUGGCGGUAGGCCUAACACAUGCAAGUCGAACGGCAGCACAGUAAGAGCUUGCUCUUACGGGUGGCGAGUGGCGGACGGGUGAGGAAUACAUCGGAAUCUACUUUUUCGUGGGGGAUAACGUAGGAAAACUUACGCUAAUACCGCAUACGACCUACGGGUGAAAGCAGGGGAUCUUCGGACCUUGCGCGAUUGAAUGAGCCGAUGUCGGAUUAGCUAGUUGGCGGGGUAAAGGCCCACCAAGGCGACGAUCCGUAGCUGGUCUGAGAGGAUGAUCAGCCACACUGGAACUGAGACACGGUCCAGACUCCUACGGGAGGCAGCAGUGGGGAAUAUUGGACAAUGGGCGCAAGCCUGAUCCAGCCAUACCGCGUGGGUGAAGAAGGCCUUCGGGUUGUAAAGCCCUUUUGUUGGGAAAGAAAAGCAGCAUGUUAAUACCCCGCUGUUCUGACGGUACCCAAAGAAUAAGCACCGGCUAACUUCGUG
rnacentral:rRNA from 1 species